GUGGAAAUACAAAUAAGUGUGUAUACCAAUUUUGAACAUGUGAGUAUUUUGAUAUGAUGACUUAUUGAAGCUAUUGGCACACUUGGGUAGGAUUCAGUGUGCAAAUUGAAACACAGCUCUCCUUCAAAGUUUUCACUUGCCCAAAGUCUGCAAUGCAGUUUUCUAACAAUUGCUUUUGGGAAAUGUGCGUAUUGCACAAAAACAGUAAAAAUGCACAUAUUAGCAGGAAGUGCGCAUAAAAACAUACCAGCGAAUAUGCCACACGAAACACAUUGUGUUGGAGGGAAAUGCUUGCAAGAGGUGCCUAUUGGAUAGAACUGGAUACAAAAGUGUAUGUUAGGAUAAUUUAACAGUAAAAUGCUGAUAAAUUUUCAUAUGGACAUGGACAGACACACACACACCUGAAGUUGAUGUGGAAAUGUGGUAAACCAAACUUCAUAUAGGAAAACAGAGAAACAGCUAAAAUUGCAUUGCUUUAUCAUGCAUGCCAACCAUAGCUUUAGUGAAAUCCAGCAAGCCAAUGCUUAUACACUGAUGAGAUGAUGAUUUUUUCUGUAAAGGAAAGCCCCAGAGUGGGGGGAGAUGCUAAAAAUUGGUUCAUCAUAGGGUGCAGGUGUUAAGUUGUGGGUGAACGUAUCAGACGACACAGCGAUUCUUCAACAGCUCUUGUUUAUUCACAGGCCAGAACAGAACAGAACAGAACUGAAGGGUUCAGCCAGCCUGCUUAUACAGAGCUCCACUACAACGCAACAGUAACAACUUUCCAGUCACUGAACGUGACUUUCAAUUCCUUAUUUGCAUAUGUGGACCUGAGUGAAAACUAUCUACCGUAUCCCCCUGCUGGCCCAGAGUGAAAACUUCAGUACAUAACAGCAGGCACAAUGUACAGCCUCAUCUUUACACAGUUCAGGUUAAAUGACCAAGGUGCAAUCCAGAUGCUCUCUGAGAGAAGGAUACGGAGAGUGAGCGAGCGUCAAAUGAAAAUAAAAUAGGUAAGAAGCAGGGCUGGCCCACCCAUGAGGUGGGGUGAAGCAGCUGCCUCAAGCAAUGGAAGUCCCUGAGGCAGUGCCCCCAUGAGUGCCCCCUCUGCUCUGCUGCUGCUACCACCGGUGGAGAACCAAUGCCAGCACCACUGGCAUCUCUGCUGGCAGUGAAGGAGGCACAGUGGGCAGUGUGGAGGUCUGUGGCACCAUUCACAUAACAAAAACUACCAUAUCAACAAUAUUAAAAGUAGGGGGUCCGUGGCUUGGCUUUUGAAAAACAGUGGGUCCACAGUACUUAGCUAAUUGGGAACCACUGUUCUAGAUCCUUAGCCUUGUGUUAAACCCACUGACCUCUGCAUACAGUGUCACAGUCGGUACAGCAUGAGGCUCUUAAUCUCAGGGUUGUGGGUUUGAGCCCCACAUUAGGUAAAAAGAUUCCUGCAUUGCAGGGAGUUGGGCUAAAUUAGGGCCAUACUGAGCGUGGCCUGAAGCCCUGGUUGCAUCUUGGCCAGCUUCCUGUCACAAAACUACCUAAGUAGGCACAGACUUGACUGCUCUCUUACAGCUUGGGUUUAACAGAGAACCUUUUAAGUUGGCCAGUUCUGGGAAUGCAUUCACCAUCUUGCAGUGUAGUAUUUAUAUUAAUAUGCAAUUAUUUUAUUUUCAAUCAUAUUUUUACUCAUUUGAAAGCUGGGAAACGGCAACUGUUGAUGCCUUAUUCUCUGGAAAAGGAGAGGCUUUGGGGGAAUUUUGCAUGCUCAGAAUUCCUGGCAUUUGAGAAGCAAAUUUUAUUGUCUUUUCCCAAUUUGUCUGAAGCAGUAAUUUGCCCUGUCUUUUCCAGUUCACAGAAGCACUGAUGUAAAAAGCCCAGAGUCUUCUGAUACAACUGUUUGCUUCUAUGGCAUCAUUUUCUUCCAGAGGAAAGGAGCUGCUGUUUCAUUGUGUAAGCUCUGCUCAAUUCUUCCCAAU
rnacentral:lncRNA from 1 species